UCUUUCUCUCUCUGGUUCUCCCUCUAUAGUUGUCCACAAAAUCAGGAUUGCUGCUAGGAAUAUAGGUGAUGAAUCCGUGCCUAUCCGCCAGCGAUAACAUUGGAGCCAAUCAAGUUAUUAUUGAUGAUAUGAUUAUAUGCAUAACUAUUAUUGGUGAGCAGUCCUAUUGCAAUAGUGGCUUUACUGCUCCUAUUGAUAUUAGUAACUUUAUUUGAAGUGAUUGGUUUUGUUUGAAUUGUGUUGUAGUUUGGGUGGUAUAUGGUGGAAGUAUUGGAAGUGUUUUUUAAG
rnacentral:misc_RNA from 1 species